AUCACUUCUCUGCAUUUUGGCUAAGAUCAAGUGUAGUAUCUGUUCUUAUCAGUUUAAUAGUAAGGGACUGUGACACCCCACUUACAUCAAUGGAUAGAUUAUUCAGACAGAAAAUGUAU
rnacentral:snRNA from 1 species